AGCAUCUAAGCACGAAACUUGCCCCGAGAUGAGUUCUCCCUGACUCCUUGAGAGUCCUGAAGGAACGUUAAAGACGAUGACGUUGAUAGGUCGGGUGUGUAAGCGUAGCGAUACGUUGAGCUAACCGAUACUAAUGAACCGUGAGGCUUAACCUUACAACGCCGAAGGUGUUU
rnacentral:rRNA from 1 species